rnacentral:rRNA from 1 species
AACUUUAAGGAAUCGGCGGGCGGACUCCCGAAGGAUUAGGCCCGCGACGAAAUCCUAGUGUAUAAUAUCCACUGGGGAUGACAGUACCGGAAUAAUAAGGACCGGCUAACUACGUGCCAGCAGCCGCGGUAAUACGUAGGGUCCAAGCGUUAAUCGGAAUUACUGGGCGUAAAGGGUGCGCAGGUGGUUGAUUAAGUGUGAUGUGAAAGCCCCGGGCUCAACCUGGGAAUUGCAUUGCAAACUGGUCAACUACAGUAUGGCAGAGGGGGGUGGAAUUCCGCGUGUAGCAGUGAAAUGCGUAGAGAUGCGGAGGAACACCGAUGGCGAAGGCAACCCCCUGGGCUAAUACUGACACUCAUGCCCGAAAGCGUGGGGAGCAAACAGGAUUACAUACCCUGGUAGUCCACGCCCUAAACGAUGUCUACUAGUUGUUGGGGGAUUCGUCCCUUAGUAACGCAGCUAACGCGUGAAGUAGACCGCCUGGGGAGUACGGCCGCAAGGCUAAAACUCAAA